rnacentral:rRNA from 1 species
AACGAACGCUGGCGGCAUGCCUAACACAUGCAAGUCGAACGAUUGCCUUCUGGUGAUGUUGGCUCACGGGGGCGUAACGCGUGGGAAUCUGCCCUUAUGUUCGGAAUAACAGCUGGAAACAGCUUCUAAUACCGGGUGCUAUCGCGAGAUCAAAGAUUUAUCGCCUUAGGAUGAGCCUGCGUUGCAUUAGGUAUGGGGUGGGGUAAAGGCCUACCAAGCCGCGGAUCCAUAGCUGGUGUGAGAGGAUGAUCAGCCAAACUGGGACUUGGACCAGGCCCAGACGCGUGCGGGCGGCAGCAGUGGGAAUAUUGGACAAUGGGCGCAAGUCUGAUCCAGCAAUGCGGGGUGAGUGAUGAAGGCCCUAGGGUUGUAAAGCUCUUUUACCCGGGAAGAUAAUGACUGUACCGGGAGAAUAAGCCCCGGCUAACUCCGUG